AAAUGAAUAGACGGGGGCCCGCACAAGCGGAGGAACAUGUGGUUUAAUUCGAUGAUACGCGAGGAACCUUACCCAGGCUCGAACGGCAAGUUGAAGGUCGGUGGAGACACCUUCCGUCUUCGGACAAUUUGUCGAGGUGCUGCAUGGUUGUCGUCAGCUCGUGCCGUGAGGUGUCGGCUUAAGUGCCAUAACGAGCGCAACCCUUGCUGUCAGUUGCCAUCGGGUAAUGCCGGGCACUCUGGCGGGACUGCCAUCGCAAGAUGUGAGGAAGGUGGGGAUGACGUCAAAUCAGCACGGCCCUUACGUCUGGGGCUACACACGUGUUACAAUGGGCAGUACAGCGGGAAGCCACCUGGCGACAGGGCGCUGAUCCCGAAAACUGUUCUCAGUUCGGAUUGGAGUCUGUAACCCGACUCCAUGAAGCUGGAUUCGCUAGUAAUCGCGCAUCAGCCAUGGCGCGGUGAAUACGUUCCCGGGCCUUGUACACACCGCCCGU
rnacentral:rRNA from 1 species